AAAUCGCGACCUGAAGUUAUUGAAAAGGGUGAGUAUAAACACUAUAUAUACAACAGUAGCAAGAGAUUUUGCAAAUUUUCGUGUCUUGGAAAAUGCCUAACUAUUUUUACGUAUUUAAUGCAUUUUGUGGAUAGGUAUAUAUAGGGGACUCUCAUCAUCGCAGGUAGUUAGGUGAAGAUACUCUUGUACGUUUAGUACAAGAAACUAUUAAUUUAUCGGGACGGUGAAGUGAUUUUAGCCAGUUACAGACGAGCUAGUUUUGUAUUACAAGUUUUGUUUGUCAAUUGCACGUAUGUAUAUAUUUUCUGACCGCCACUGAUAGCUUUUAUUAGUUAUAAUUGCAAGUUUAGACCGCUGACCAAUUCAUUCAACAAAUUUUCUAUGUCAAGAUUUAUUUUCUGACCGCCACUGGUAGCUUUUAUUAGCUACAAUAGCCGUUCCGCACGUUGUAACCAAUAAUCUAUUGGCGUUGUAACACCAUUGUAUGCAAUAAAGUAUUGGGUUGUAAUUGGUCUACAAUUACAAUAACACUAAUCCAAACGUUAAUCCUAACCCCUAACCUCUACCCCCUAACCCUAAAGUUGAUGACCUUUUUUAAGUAAAAAUUGGCAAAGUUGUCUAUACAGGCGAGCAAGUAAAACUUGCCAUAUGAAAACCUAUCAUAGGAAACUUGCUCCUCUCGGCUUUGAUAAGGUUGGCUAGCCGUUACCAUUAAAUAAAGUCUGUUACAAUAUUGGUUAUUUUUGUUUCAAUAUUAAAGAAUAUCUUCAUUUGUUUCAGAACGUCGACAAUAUAACGAUCAUAUUAAAGUUUUGAAAAAUCAGCUCACCGAAGCAGAGACCAAGCUGAUGGGAUACUUCAAGAAAUUCAGUCAAAUACAGGUAUAGGGUGGUAUAAUUAAUUUGUAGAUGUCUAUAUCGACGUUGGUGGCCAAAUGUUUGAUGUACAUACUGUACGCUUCAGCCGGUGAGCUCCAUAUAUGUGGCGUGACAACUUGAG